CGGCCUUGGCCGAUGGGAACGGCCAGAGCCUCCGGAUGGAUCGCGGGAUACGGUAUCGCGGGCAGUUCGAUCUCGCCAUGGUCCG
rnacentral:tRNA from 1 species